AGAAUUUGAUCUUGGUUCAGGAUGAACGCUGGCGGCGUGCCUAAUACAUGCAAGUCGAACGGCAGUAGCAAUACUGUAGUGGCGAACGGGUGAGUAACACGUUGGUGACCUGCCCCAAAGAUGGGAAUAUCAACCUGGAAACGGGUGGCAAAACCGAAUAAGCUUGAGGGAGUUAGAGAGCCUCAAGUAAAAGCGUAAGCUACUUUGGGAGGGGCCUGCGGCCCAUCAGUUAGUUGGUGAGGGUAACGGCCCACCAAGACGAAGACGGGUAGGGGACCUGAGAGGGUGGUCCCCCACAAUGGAACUGAAACACGGUCCAUACACCUACGGGUGGCAGCAGUAGGGAAUAUUGCUUAAUGGGCCGAAAGCCUGAAGCAGCAACGCCGCGUGGACGAAGGAGGCCUUCGGGUCGUAAAGUCCUUUUAUGAGGGAAAAAGGAAGGAUGGUACCUCAUGAAUAAGUCUCGGCUAACUACGUGCCAGCCGCCGC
rnacentral:rRNA from 1 species